AGUCUCUCUCUCUGUCUCUCUAUCUAUCUCCACUUCACAUUCCUCGUCAAUUUUUUUUUACAAACUCUUGACAACUUUAGCCUUUUCCCAAACUUCGAAGCCCCCGCCCACCCUGGCUCUUGUCUUUUUCUCCUCUUUUUCUUUAUCCGUCUGUUCUCUUCUUCCAGUGGCUCUCAGUGUAAAACUGAUCCUCCUGACUCCUGCCCACCCGAAUUCCACCGGGGCAGCUGAGGCUCGGGAAGGAGUCUGGCAAAGAGAAUUCUGCUGCAGAGUGGGAACAGGAGGGCUGGGCGGGGAGUGUGGAGCGUGCGGGGGGCCAAGGUUGGGAGCAAGUCAGCUAUAUUCACACGUGAUUAUUACCUUUUACCCCAUGAGCAGAAGUGAGCAGAGUAAGACCUGCAAGUCUAACCCUGCAAGGAGAACCUCCAAAAUCUCCUCAUUCUGUUUAGUUUCAGCGAAUCACAAACAUUAGUCUGCAUCCCAUGUUCGCUUUUCUUUUUGUUGGUUCACCUACCAAGUUUAUCCUCUGACCUUCAUGGGACCUCCCGGGACCAUGGGAGCUCUAAAAAGCCAUUGUGUGAAAAUCUCCUUUAUUUCUAAGGACCACUAGGUAAAGAGUCUGUGACCUUCUCUGGCCAUUCAUCACAGGAUGAACAGUUCCUUUUAGAAAAUUAGUAUAGCCCACGUGCCUCAUGCUACAUGUUAAGCCCAGACUGUGGUGGCCAGGGUCAGUGUGGAAGAAGGCUGUUGGGAGGCCACGGGGAAGGGCAGGAACUUGUCUGGACUGGGAAGCAUCGUCCCUGUACAUAUACUGACUUCAAAAGUCCUGAAUGCCCUGUGUUGGGUGGUGCCAGACCUGGAGAGGAGAAGAUUAAAACACUAAUGGAUGUUUUGUCUACACCCAUCAGCUUACACGGUGGUUUAGAACACAAGCAUAUUUUACAUGAAGACAUCGAAAUUUUUCUUAACCUUUUAUGGACUAGUUGAAAUGUUCUCAACAUUAUCAUUUCAUCCUAAGUUUUGCUGUAGUAACUUAUGGUUCUUUCCUGAAUCAAGUUUGUUGAUAACUAUAUUAAAUAGUAGACUCCCAAACUCAAAAGUGACAUUUCUGUAAGGGUUUUGACUGUGCAGUGUGUUGUGUCUGAGUUAACUUAGGAUGAUUUUAGUACAAUUUAAGCGUUUGUGUGGCUUGUGGCUCAGCCUGAUCUCCAGAGGAAUAAAAAAAUAUAACCAGAGUAAACGUUUGGUUGAGUUCGAAACCUCUGCUGACCUACAAGAGAGCCAGAGAAAAGGAAAGGAAAAGGGGAAGGCACGUGAGGUGACACUGUCAGGGUACAGAGACUGUUUUUGGAGUAGAAUAUCAGUAAAUCAGGAGCUGGAAUUAUGUAAAGAACUCCAGUUAUAGCAAAGAGACCCCACAAUGCAAUGGCUCGAACGAGUGAGAAAUCAAUUUCUCUUUCAGUACGUCUCCAAGGCAGAUGGGCAAGCCCUGUUCCAGGAAGUCAGUCAGGGAUCCAGGCUGGUGGGGUGGCUCUGCCAUCCUCCGCAGGUGCUCCAGUCUGUUCUAUUUCCAGCCAGCAGGAAGGAAAGGAGGCAACACAACUGGGGCAAGCACCUUUGAAUUUAUUUUUCGGUAGAAAAUCCCAGACGUAUCCAUAUAAAUGAAGGGAUAAUGUAGGAUAAUACAUCCCUCUGUACCCAUCACUCAGCUUCAAGUAUCUUCAUGUGGUUGAACCUGUACCAUUAUAUCCCCCAGAUAUGUCCUCCUUUGCUGGCUUAUUUGAAAAAUCAAAUCUCAGACAUCUUGAAGCGGAUGAUCUGGAAGUUGUACACAUCACUACAUCACUUGUUAAAAAUGUAGUCACAUGGCCACGUCCAGCUGCAAGCAAGACUGGGCGAAAGCUCUAGCUGGGUGGCUGCAAACCCAGGAAGGAGGGAAGAAUGCCUUACUGGAUUCAGGCUUUGUGGAGAGUCCUUGAGAAAGGUCAGAGGUGGAAAAAUUAUGUGACUCGAAGAAAGACUAAGGAUGUUUCUGUAGAGCAGCAAGGUCCACAUAGUGAGAACUGCAUACUAACUCCGUGUGAAAGGACACGGAGUCUUAGGCACUUGAAUUUUCAGAAAAUACAACACUGGCUGACCAAAAACAGGACAGCAAAAUGAAGUGGCUUAGGAAGUCACCGCAGAAGCUUGCUUUUUUCUUACCCGUGUAAAAUUAGCCAAGGGAAUGAUUUUAGAGGAGAGUCAAUAUAUGUGUAAAUUAUGAACAUAGGUUAUUUGCUGUUGAAAUCCUGCCUUUGAAAGUGUUAAAAGGUGUAAUGCGUUUUUGAGAUUUCGUGUAUUUUCAUGUAAUAAAAAGAACAAGACACUACAGAAUAAAAUGAGCAGAAGAUGAACUGGUUGAAACUACUGAAACACAGAGUUCCCAUCAUGGUUCAGCAAAAACGAAUUUGACUAGUAUCCAUUGAGGACACAGGUUCAAUCCCUGGCCUCACUCAGUGGGUUAAGGAUCCAGUGUAGCCGUGAGCUGUGGUGUAGAUCGCAGAUGUGGCUUGGAUCUGGCGUUGCUGUGGCUGUGGGGUAGGCUGGUGGCUACAGCUCCGAUUCAACCUCUAGCCUGGGAACCUCCUUAGCCGCGGGUGCAGCCCUAAAAAGACAACAAAACAAAACAAAACUAACGAAACAAUCAUGUCAAGAAACAUUUAUUGAGCAUCUCCUUAUUCUGAGGAUUGUCCUGGGUUCUCCAGGAGAUGCAGUGAUAACAAAUCCAUAGUCCUUGUUCUCCCAGGGGCUCUGUCUGAGGGCAGAUACACAUGAAAAUAGCUAACGAACUAUAACACCAGACAGAAUCAAUCAGAGGCCACAGUUGAAGGACAACUAGCAGAUAUCCACUGUUUCACCUGCCCUGUCCCUUCUCACAAGUAUCUUGAUUUUUCUUCAGGCCACCCCCUUCGCUCUCAGUUCACAGUGGAGCUGAUACAACCUCCAUGUCCAGGUUUCUUUACCUGUAAAAGUAUGCUGACCCUACCUUGAAGCAUGAUUUUGAGGCCGAGGAAUUGCUGUGUGUGAAAGACAUGUAUGUGUGAAUUAUUACCAUUAUUACUGAUUUGCCGUGGGUAGAAUAAAUAAGAAUAAAGGAAGUAAUGACAUUUUCUAGAACCAAUAUUGUUUGGGAAUAAUUGAUUUUAAGACAAAUAAAAUACACAAAGAUUCUCGCUGUCAUUUUCAAAUACCAUGCAUAUUCAUUUACAAGGGAGCACUCUGUAUUCAUGAUUUUGAAUUGGGGGCAUUUUUCUUCAUGGUGCCUGUUUCCGGUUUCCCAGGCUCCUUCUUGCCCGGGCUCUUUAUGCACAUACAUGGCCUUGAAGCCAGGAGGCAACCCUUCCGUCCUCUGACUUGAGGGCUGGAGUGUCACAGGCAACCUUUCCCUCCCCCACCCCCACCCCCGGGGGCAUCAUGUUUUCCCACCCUCUGUAGUCAGGAGGUUGCAAAUCUCCUGUCUUUCUAGAAAACCAUUGAUUGUAUUUAUACAUUAGCCUUUUGUGUAGUAGGUUUUGAGUUAGAUUUAGUCCCAGUGGCUGAAAGUUCAGCAUUUCCUGAAUAUUUUCCUCCAAAUCCACACCCGUGUGUGGCAGGGAAGAAGCUGAAGGAUGAAUAGGCUUCCAUGUUGCUGGGUUAUUGAUAGGGAGAUGCUGGCAGAAAUUUGCAAGCAUUUGCAUAUAUACAAUUGUCUGUCUGAUGUUUGCUUCCAGGCUUGCUCUCCUUCUCUGCCCCCCCCACCCCGUUCUCUUUGUGCAGUGAAUUACUAAUACAAAUACAGAUAAUGAAAUUUCUGAUCCCAGCCUGCAAAGCAAAUGCACAUUUUGGAAGGUAUCUGGGGAACAUAGAUAGAUUCUCUUGAUCUUGUUGCUUUAUCCAGACAAGGCAAUGAAGGGGAGAAAGUAAUUACAGGAACUUGUCUUUGAAGGUAGAACGAGUGGCACUGACAGGAUUUCUUUUUAGAGAAUCUUGUAGAGAUGCCAUUUUCUUGUUAAUACCAAUAGGUAUUUCCCUGGAAACAGAGUUUACUUAUUAAAAUGUGUGUUCGGCAGAUGGGACGCUGUCCCAGGAAGCAGAACAAGUUCCGUCCUUGUGGCUUCAGCACAGGAUGGGUCUGGGGCAGAUGGCACCCCAGGAUGGAGGCGUUCGCCAGGGACACCAUGAUAGUGCAAAUCCUGGAGGCAGGAGGAAAGCAAAUUUGCAUCUUUUGGUGAACUAGUGCUUGCACCACCAGUUCCUUAAAGUGGAAGCCUGACUUUGCCAGGCAACUGGAGACAGUGGCUCGGUGGCCCUGAUUAGGUGGCAGUAACAUCAGGAAAUCUCCAGAAUAUGUUCCUAUUAGCUAUUAGCUAUCAGAAAGUUCCAUGGAGAAAAAAAAAAACAACCUGAAAAGCAGCUUUAAUUGGGAACUUUUCAAGGUAACAAGCAUUUUCUUACACCUAUCCCUGCAGUAGACCAAAAAUUCAUACUCUGGUGAAUAAGCAACUAAAGUUAAGCCCAUGUUUUCUGAAGCAAUCACAUGAAUAAGCAAUGAAGGUUUAAUUGUCAAUAUGCUAUAUAAUUUAUGCCAUAACGUGAUCAACUUUGGUUCCACAAAUGCAUGUCAACUCUUCAUUUCUUUUUCAAUAAUCUUUGAUCUUACCUAUUGUUGACCUCUUACCAUAUGUCAUGUAGUAAAUGCCAAUUCUGUUUGUCUGAACAGGUUUCUCAACAACCCAAGUUUGUGCUGACAGCUUGUACGGAAAGAACAAAUAUUUGCUUUAUAUUUCAUGUAAAUAUGUGCAUGCUGUCAAAUAAGACGGGCUUAAGGAGGCUAAGAUUUUGUCUUCCAUGGCUCACAAGAAGGGACAGCUAAUCUAUAUUAGAAAUAAUUUGAGAUGUAGAACUGCCAUGUGGAAAAUAUAGAUCUCGCACUGGUUGAAAUGACAUUAGUAGGAAAAAAAUUUAGCUGAAAAAGGCUAUGAAAUGUUUAUUUUGUCAUACAGCUAAAAUAUGUUGGGACUAGAAUAAAAAAAAAAAAAA
rnacentral:lncRNA from 1 species